AUUGAACGCUGGCGGCAUGCCUUACACAUGCAAGUCGAACGGCAGCACGGGAGCAAUCCUGGUGGCGAGUGGCGAACGGGUGAGUAAUAUAUCGGAACGUGCCCGGUCGUGGGGGAUAACGUAGCGAAAGCUACGCUAAUACCGCAUACGAUCUACGGAUGAAAGCGGGGGAUCGCAAGACCUCGCACGAUUGGAGCGGCCGAUAUCAGAUUAGGUAGUUGGUGAGGUAAAGGCUCACCAAGCCGACGAUCUGUAGCUGGUCUGAGAGGACGACCAGCCACACUGGGACUGAGACACGGCCCAGACUCCUACGGGAGGCAGCAGUGGGGAAUUUUGGACAAUGGGCGCAAGCCUGAUCCAGCAAUGCCGCGUGCAGGAUGAAGGCCUC
rnacentral:rRNA from 1 species